CAGAGGAAAAAGAGAAAUUAGUGAGGGUGGUCUUAUAGAUGUGGAUCAUGAGGACAUUAUGCUUAUUGUGCCUCCACUUUUUGCUCUGAAGCAUAUGCCAGAAAAUUUUGUGCCUCCACUUUUUGCAUUCUUCCACAACCACCACUUAUUAACCAUUCUCCCACUUUGCGAGAUAUAUGCCAGCCUCAUGUCCCCACCCAUAUUUUGCAAAGGAUGGAAGAGAUUGGAUAUGUGAUGCGUACAGAUGUUCAGAGGGAGGCUUUGCCUCAUCUUUUCUCCGGCCGUGACUGUAUACUUCAUGCUCAGAUUAGGUUAUUCUGCUCUUUUCAAUUU